GUCUACUCACCCUUUAUUAGCUUAAAUUUUUUUGUUUUUGUUUUCUACUAAUCACAGACUAGAUUGUGAGUGUGCCUAAAAGAGAGGAAUUCCAACCAGCUUUGCCUCUCACUUGCACUGUAGUUGAGUCCUUUGUUACCAACCUGUAAUCAGUAGAGACAAUAAAAAGGAAGUCAAAAAAAAAAAAAAAAAAAAAAGCAGAGCGGUGGUGGCACAUGCCUUUAAUCCCAGCACUUGGGAGGCAGAGGCAGGCAGAUUUCUGAGUUCGAGGCCAACCUGGUCUACAGAGUGAGUUCCAGGACAGCCAGGGCUACACAGAAAAACCCUGUCUCAGAAAAACCAAAAGAAAAAAAAAAAGGAGUUAUUUUGCCAUUGCUUUGCAUUAGAACCUAUGAAUUCUGUAACAAGAGAAAGGGGUAUAGAGCGUGGAUUGUGUUUCUUAAAAACACAAAUUGGAAACUCAAAAAGAAUUAAUAAGCAGCAAACCUUGAAAAAAUACAGUCCUAAAGACUGCCACAUCCUGUUCUGUGGGCAGAGAUAGAAGAAGAUCAUGAUCUUUGCUUAGUUCCAAACUAAGAAAUGAACCUGGGUGUGGUAUCUCAGCCCAUGAUCCUGCACUUGGAAUAUAGAGCCAAGAGGAUCAGAAAUUCAAAGCCAGUAGCCCAGACUACAUGAAAUCCAGUGGAAUUCAAACAACGUGUUCCAAAUCCUCAGUAAAUAAAUAGAAUGUAAAACAGGAAUCCACACUGUCAGGUCCAUUGGAAACUCCAUUUCCCAAGGUUCUGGUAGUUAGACAGAAGUCAGCACUCCCGGGAGCUUUGAAGCUGGUUCCGCUCUGCCAAAGGAGUCAUUUCCUUGUCUCUGGCAGGAAGGACAGAAGGCUACCAGUGAUGCCUAUGAGCAUGCCAAAAUGUAUGCUGGCUUCCAGGCUUCUUCAGUAGUACAGGCUCUUAGCUCUUCUCAUCUCCCAGUAACCUUCUGCAGCCCACUGGUUUCCUUCCCCUCAGCUUCUCAUUCUCCUUACAGCCCUGCUAUCGCCACUGUAAGCUCUCUAGUCUUCUCUUUUGCCCAUGCUCGGUCUUCUCCCCCUCCCUCUACUCUGUUCUUGCUUUUCUCCUCACCAGGGUCCGUCUGCUGGCCAUGUUCAGCCUACUACUUCCUCUCACUGCUCAGGACUCUUCCAGGUGCCUCUGGCUGGGCACUCCCUCAUAUCUACCAUAUAUCCUUCUCCCUAAGCAUGCAUUGGAAUGACUGUGUUGUCAGUUUAUACACAUAGGCCAGAUUACUAUAGGAAGCCUUCUUGUCAAAAGGAAAAAAAAAAACCUCUUCACUAAAUGACUCAAUAAAAUGAGAUUAGAAGAUUAUUUAUAUUAUGUGUUUUGUGUACAUAGGAAAGAGUCAGAAGCCAUGAGGUUCUGCUAGACACUCAUGUGUGGAUUAAAACAAAUUUUCCUGAGUGGAAUACAUCUAGUAAGGGCCCUCAGUCCGCCUGAGAGAGCACAGAGUGUUUUAAGAACCCAAGCACCACACUGUCCACCCAUUCAUUGGCUUGACUGGUUCCUCCACGUCUUGAUGCUCAGUUACUUGAAAGCAGAGAGGGAAGCUCAACUCCCGAUGCUUUCCUAGACAAACUGUGAGUCUAAGGAUAUCCAGCAGUGACUUACCUCCGUGGAAGGCAAAAUCCAGAUUCCAAAGUAGUUUUUUCCACAAAUACCAGCUCCAUUACUUUAUAGGAAAACCCCAUCAAUUGAGCGUAUCUGUGGGAGGCUUUGUCCUGUGCUGCCAGACAUGGAGUCAAGUAGGAAACACAUCUGCUGCCUACUGGAGCAUCCUUGUUGGAAAAUAGAUCAUGCAGAGGUUGAUGCCAGCAGUCGGUCAGUUAGGGGAUGAGACAUGGGUAGCUCUACCCAUAAAAUCUCAGGUAUAGGGCCCUGCAGUACAGCUCAUCUAUCAGGGCCACAUGUUUAAAGAAAACUGGCACAUCCACUUCCAGGAACUGCCAAUUGCCAAUACUUCUCAACUAGGGGUGGGACUCAGUGCUCCCUGCAGCCGCCAUGCAAGGAGUUUGUUAUUUUUUCCUGGUAAGGCCACCUGGCAGGGCUUGGCAAUGCAAUAGGUAUUUGAUUCUAGAUAAAGGGUGCUAAACACAAAGUAAUAUUUGAGAACUAAAUAAAGGUGUUCUAUGUCUAUAUGGAGCUCAAUGAAGAGAUAUUAAUGAGUAAAAAGAAUCUAGCCAGGCAUGGUGGCGCACGCCUUUAGUCCCAGCACCCGGGAGGCAGAGGCAGGUGGAUUUCUGAGUUCCAGGCCAGCCUGGUCUACAGAGUGAGUUCAGCCAGCGCACACAAUUACCAAACCUUCUGAAGGGUGAGCCUCGCAAAUAGGCAGGAAGAAGACUGCAUUGCUUAGCGAGGAAGGGCAUGGGCAGGGUUCUGUGAGGCUGGGAUCGGCUUCAGAUUACAUAGGGAAAGCUGCCAAGUUCAGUGCUGUGUCCAGAGAAACUAUCUUCUAAAAACAAAGAAAUCAAAUAAAACAUGAAGGCUUUUCAGGUACAAAGAAACAGGAAGCUUCAAGAGAAGCUUGAAGCCACACCAAAUGGUUAUCGAAUUCCAAAUGGUUAAUCUUGAAAACACAGAAUGAAUCGCAUGAAACAGACUGUGCAGCUUAUAUUCUGGGCUAUAUGUGCAUAUAUGUAUAUGCAUGUAGCAAAAAAUUAAUGAAAAAGGCCAUGAAUUUGCGAGCAAGGAGGGAAGUAGGGAGAAAGGAGAAGAGGGAAGGGUGUAGUUGUAUUAGAAUCUCAAAAAUAAAAGAAAAAUUACAAAUUAAUAAUAAAAAAGAGUUAUGGCAUUUGUAAUGAAAAAAAAAGCAUAGCUGAAUGAUUUUUAAGAAUUCCCCUGGAACUAAAAACUUGCAUUUAAUAAAACAGAAACUCCUUAAAAUG
rnacentral:lncRNA from 1 species